rnacentral:lncRNA from 1 species
GCUGCUUCUGGGGUGAGGAAGAAACACAAAACAUUUAGAUCUUUCACCUGGUUGCCCACAGAUACCAGACUAAUUUGCACAUAGAUGCAGUGCUAGCCAAUGACAGUUGAAGGGAAGUUCUGCCUGGGACUGCAGAAAGGUCUCCUUUCUCGAAAAAGGAUUCAAGAAGGGGCCAGGUGUGGUGGCUCAUGCCUGUAACCCCAGCACUUUGGGAGGCCAAGGCAGGCGGAUCACUUGAGGCCAGGAGUUCAAGACCAGACUGGCCACCAUGGUGAAACCCCAUCUCUACUAAAAAUACAAAAUUAUCCAGGUAGGGCUUCCAGGUACUUGUAUCCUGAUUGAUGCUGUCACUCUCACUGGAAAACAAUUGGAAGGUUAGAGUGGACUGAAGAGGCAUAAAGUUUCAAACUCAGGAGACUUGCAUGAAGCCUUCACAUGAACACAGGCCUGUUCUCCACUUGGAGAUGACAGGAAACUUUCCCAACAAAGGCCUCAGAAACAGUGUCCUUGCCUGGGGUUUCCUGCAGAACUCUGCUUCUCCCUUGAAGAUGGGGCACUCCCAUCUCUUUGGGGCCCCUCCCGGGUCUCUGCCUCCCAACACACAAAGCAGGAGUUGUCCACCCCCACCGUAAAGAAACCAGCUGUGGGAUCUUUCAGCAGGUCUCCGCUUGUUCCAAAGCCUCAGUUUCUACAUUGGAUAAAGGGGAAUGGCAGCGGCCCUAGAGAAAAGACCUUUUUUUUUCUUUUUUUUUUGAGAUGGGGUUUCGCUCUGUUGCCCAGGCUGGAGUGCAAUGGCUCCAUCUCGGCUCACUGCAACCUCUGCCUCCCGGGUUCAAGCGAUUCUCCCUGCCUCAGCCUCUCAAGUAGCUGGGAUUAAAGGUGCCUACCACCACACCUGGCUAAUUUUUGUAUUUUUUAAAGUAGAGACAGGGUUUCAUCAUGUUGGCCAGGCUGGUCUCGAACUCCUGACCUCAGGUAAUCCACCUGCCUCGGCCUCCCAAAGUGCUGGGAUUACAGAUGUGAGCCACCGUAUCCAGCUGGGAUGACCUUCUUAGACAGCCUGUGUCACAGAAUUUGUAGUUCCCUUUAAAGAUGAUGCUUGGAAUAACCCACUUCCAGCAAGAGUGGACAGCAGCAAGAAGACUUUGUUUCAUCCUUCAGCUGAGUCGUAAGUUGUUUCCUUUUGUACAUGUCACACAUGAAGAAGAGAGCAAGCCCUGGUGCAGGAUGGCACCUGUGGCUAUGAAACAGAAGAAAAUCUAUGGCCCUACUAGGGAUUGACCCAUGACCUUGACCUUUUGGGCAAGGAGCACCGACAGCUAAGCCAUCAUCCCCAACAGCCCAGUGUGCAUCAGAUGGUAUGGACGUGCAGCCUGGAACAGCCCCCUGGAAGACAAACAGCCAAGUCAUUAAUCAGUUGCUUUACCCCUGUACUCUGUGUGUUUGUGUGUGUGUGUGUGUGUGUGUGUGUGUGUGUGCGUUUGUUGGGGGAUGGGGUAAGGGUAUUGUGUGCCUGUGAGUAUGUGCCCAGCCCUCCAGACCAGGGUCCUCAAAGGGACCUGCCCCAGUGUGAAGGAAAGACCCCGCCCAGCAAUGAGGGAGUGGCCAGGACAUCUUUCCACAGCAUCUGGGAGGAACGGGCAGGGCCGGAUAUGGGCUGCCGACCUUCUCCCUUCCUCCUGAAGAGGAAGCUCCUCCUGCGCCACCUUUGUGCUGACCGCUGGGUGGUUACGAAUGUGUUCCCUGCCUGUCGUUCUCUUCCUGAGCAGUGAGGAGCAGCUCACUCAGCCCAGCCCAGCCCCCACUCCUGAGAUCCAGCCCAUGAAGGAGCUCUGUGUCCUGGCUUCUGACCAGGCUGAUGGGUGGGGUGGGAGGCAAGGACCAGAGGCUGAGUCAAGGCCUUCACCCAGCCUCUUCUGGAGCAUGGCUCCCUCACCUCUCCCAUAAAAAAUAGACAUAAGGUCGGAAAGGACUUCCCUGAACUAACAGGACAGGGCCUGCAGAAGGCCUGAACCCUGGCCAGCAGACAGGUGAUGAGCAUGUCUACACCAGGAAGGUGGGGAAUAAAUUUUAUUUUAAAAAUUAAAUUAAAUUUAUUUAAGAGACAUGAUCUUGCUCUAUCACCCAGGCUGGACUGCAGUGGUGAGAUCAUAGCUCACUGCAGCCUUCAACACCUGGAGUCAAGCCAUCAUCCUCAUGCCUCAGCCUCCUGAGUAGCUGAGACUACAGGUGCAUGCCACCAUGCCCAGCUAAUUUAAUUUUAUUUAAUAUAACACUCCAAUACCAUGUAUCAUGUGCCCUUUAUAAUUAUGAACUGAUAUUAUAUAAGCCUCAUAACAACCCUAUGAGAAAGGUGCUCUGAUUAUGCCCACUUCAUAUAGGAAGAGGCUGAGGCACAGAGAGGUUAAGCAACUUACCCAAGAUCACCCAUCUAGUAAGCAGCAGAGCCCAGAUCUGAAUUC